AACGAACGCUGGCGGCAGGCUUAACACAUGCAAGUCGAGCGCCCCGCAAGGGGAGCGGCAGACGGGUGAGUAACGCGUGGGAAUCUACCGUACCCUACGGAAUAGCUCCGGGAAACUGGAAUUAAUACCGUAUACGCCCUACGGGGGAAAGAUUUAUCGGGGUAUGAUGAGCCCGCGUUGGAUUAGCUAGUUGGUGAGGUAAUGGCUCACCAAGGCGACGAUCGGUAGCUGGUCUGAGAGGAUGAUCAGCCACACUGGGACUGAGACACGGCCCAGACUCCUACGGGAGGCAGCAGUGGGGAAUAUUGGACAAUGGGGGCAACCCUGAUCCAGCCAUGCCGCGUGAGUGAUGAAGGCCCUAGGGUUGUAAAGCUCUUUCGGCGGGGACGAUAAUGACGGUACCCGCAGAAGAAGCCCCGGCUAACUUCGUGCCAGCCGCCGCAGUAAAAC
rnacentral:rRNA from 1 species